GAACUUAAGCAUAUCAAUAAGCGGAGGAAAAGAAACUAACAAGGAUUCCCCUAGUAACUGCGAGUGAAGCGGGAAAAGCUCAAAUUUAAAAUCUGGCGUGCCUCUGGUCGUCCGAGUUGUAGUUUAGAGAAGCGUUUUCUGUGUUGGACCGUGUAUAAGUCUCUUGGAACAGAGCGUCAUAGAGGGUGAGAAUCCCGUCUUUGACACGGACUACCAAUGCUUUGUGAUACGCUCUCAAAGAGUCGAGUUGUUUGGGAAUGCAGCUCAAAAUGGGUGGUAAAUUCCAUCUAAAGCUAAAUAUAGGCGAGAGACCGAUAGCGAACAAGUACCGUGAGGGAAAGAUGAAAAGCACUUUGGAAAGAGAGUUAAACAGUACGUGAAAUUGCUGAAAGGGAAACGCUUGAAGUCAGUCGCGUCUGCCAGGACUCAGCCUUGCUUCUGCUUGGUGUACUUUCUGGUUGGAUGGGCCAACAUCGAUUUCGACCGUUGGAGAAAGGCUUUGGGAAUGUGGCACCUUCGGGUGUGUUAUAGCCCUUUGUCGUAUACAACGGUUGGGAUCGAGGACUGCAGCAUGCCUUCAUGGCCGGGGUUCGCCCACGUACAUGCUUAGGAUGUUGGCAUAAUGGCUUUAAGCGACCCGUCUUGAAACACGGACCAAGGAGUCUAACAUGCCUGCGAGUGUUUGGGUGGAAAACCCAUGCGCGUAAUGAAAGUGAUAGCUGAGAUCCUCUCAUCAGGAGCAUCAGCGCCUGGACUUGAUCUACGGAGACGGUUCUACGGUAGAGCAUGUAUGUUGGGACCCGAAA
rnacentral:rRNA from 1 species